rnacentral:rRNA from 1 species
GUGUCAGCAGCCGCGGUAAUACGAAGGGGGCUAGCGUUGUUCGGAAUUACUGGGCGUAAAGCGCACGUAGGCGGAAUGUUAAGUCAGGGGUGAAAUCCCGGGGCUCAACCCCGGAACUGCCUUUGAUACUGGCAUUCUCGAGUCCGGAAGAGGUGAGUGGAAUUCCGAGUGUAGAGGUGAAAUUCGUAGAUAUUCGGAGGAACACCAGUGGCGAAGGCGGCUCACUGGUCCGGUACUGACGCUGAGGUGCGAAAGCGUGGGGAGCAAACAGGAUUAGAAACCCGGGUAGUCC